AGAGUUAGAUCAUGGCUCAGAGUGAACGUUGGCGGCGUGCCUGACACAGGCAAGUCGAGCGAUUCCCGAAUAGCUUGCUAUUCGGGAAGAGUAGCAAACGGGUGAGUAACACGUGAGUAAUCACCCCUCGAGUGAGGAAUAAUUCCGCGAAAGCGGGACUAAUACCGCAUAAUACUCUGGGGCAUAAGCCUUUAGAGUCAAAGCUUUCCGAGCAAUCGGAUGGCGCUUGAGGACGAGCUCGCGGCCUAUUAGCUAGUUGGUGGGGUAAUGGCCUACCAAGGUUAUGAUGGGUAGCCGGCUUGAGAGGGUGUACGGCCACACUGGGACUGAGACACGGCCCAGACUCCUACGGGAGGCAGC
rnacentral:rRNA from 1 species